GCUACAGAAACUUAAAGGAAUUGACGGGACCCGCACAAGCGGUGGAGUAUGUGGUUUAAUUCGAUGCAACGCGAAGAACCUUACCUGGUCUUGACAUCCCGGAGACCCUUAGGAAACUAGGGGGUGCUUCCAUCUGGAAGAAUCUGGAGACAGGUGCUGCAUGGCUGUCGUCAGCUCGUGUCGUGAGAUGUUGGGUUAAGUCCCGCAACGAGCGCAACCCUUGCCUUUAGUUGCCAGCAGUUCGGCUGGGCACUCUAAAGGGACUGCCGGUGUUAAACCGGAGGAAGUGGGGAUGACGUCAAGUCCUCAUGGCCUUCAUGGCCAGGGCUACACACGUACUACAAUGGCCGAUACAAAGGGCAGCGACACUGCGAGGUGAAGCCAAUCCCGUAAAAUCGGUCUCAGUCCGGAUUGGAGUCUGCAACUCGACUCCAUGAAGUUGGAAUCGCUAGUAAUCGUGGAUCAGCAUGCCACGGUGAAUACGUUCCCGGGCCUU
rnacentral:rRNA from 1 species